rnacentral:rRNA from 1 species
UACGAAGGGGGCUAGCGUUGUUCGGAAUUACUGGGCGUAAAGCGCGCGCAGGCGGCUAUCCAAGUCAGUGGUGAAAGCCCGGAGCUCAACUCCGGAACUGCCAUUGAAACUGUUUAGCUUGAGGAUGAGAGAGGUGAGUGGAAUUCCCAGUGUAGAGGUGAAAUUCGUAGAUAUUCGGAAGAACACCAGUGGCGAAGGCGACUGACUGGACAAGUAUUGACGCUGAGGUGCGAAAGCGUGGGGAGCAAACAGG